UACGAAGGGGGCUAGCGUUGCUCGGAAUCACUGGGCGUAAAGCGCACGUAGGCGGCUUCUUAAGUCAGGGGUGAAAUCCUGGAGCUCAACUCCAGAACUGCCUUUGAUACUGGGGAGCUUGAGUCCGGGAGAGGUGAGUGGAACUGCGAGUGUAGAGGUGAAAUUCGUAGAUAUUCGCAAGAACACCAGUGGCGAAGGCGGCUCACUGGCCCGGUACUGACGCUGAGACGCGAAAGCGUGGGGAGCGAACAGG
rnacentral:rRNA from 1 species